AAUUUGCGUUAAUGUCAAAUUUAGAAAUUUUUGUCAUUUCAUACAAACUUGUAUAUAGACUGUUGUCUUAUCUGUGUGAAGAGAGGCAUGUUUUACCUCAUAUAUAUAACUAGGAGACUCUACGCAUAGAAGAUAAGAUAUGUAGUUCACUCGCGGCACUGAAAGAAUACAGACGGAAUCGCCGACAUGUAUAAACUCACAGUUUUCGUUUUAUCAGUAUGUGCGCUCUCAAUUGUAACAUCCAGCAGCGGCACUACAUCCUCUAAUUCGAUAAGAUGUCGACUAUGUAGUAGAGCUAACACCCUUUCAGAUUGUAACAAAAAUGUCACAUGUGAUAGUACUUUGGAGGUAAGUGUUGCGCAUCCAUAGAUUAUUUUCUUUAAAAGUCCCCCAUGUCUUUUUUCUUCUCCUUUCUUGUCCACCUACGUUUUGAUGUUUCGUUUCAUAAUUCGUAAUUGCCCCCAUUUAUUAACUUUUCCGUUUAAUAACUUUUUGUUAUGUCUUCUUCUGAUCCGCUGCCAUCUUCUUCUGAUCCAUCGUUUACCCUUCUAUCCUCUGGUCCUUCUUCUUCUGCUAAAUAUUUCUUCUGACUGUUAAACAUUUAUAUCUUUAGGGCUGUAACAUGUUUUUUCCCC